rnacentral:lncRNA from 1 species
AUGCCUCUUUCACUAAGAGUUUACAGCCCCAGGCGCGACGGCACAAGCCAUGUUUUCAAUUCUUUCCUAAAAGCUAACAGAGUGGGAGCUUGCCUAAUUUCAGUAGGUAGUGAGUUCCACAGUUUGGGGGUCCUCCUGGAUUCAGCGUUGACACUUGAAGCACAGGUGUCGGCGGUGGCCGGAAGGGCCUUUGCACAACUCAAGCUUGUGCGCCAACUGCGACCAUACCUCGUGAAGUCUGAUUUGACCACGGUGGUCCAUGCCUUAGUUACCUCUAGACUGGACUACUGUAAUGCACUCUACGUGGGGCUUCCCUUGAAGACGGCCCGGAAAUUACAAUUGGUCCAACGUUCGGCUGCCAGAUUAAUAACAGGGGCAAGUUACAGGGAGAGAUCCACUCCCCUGUUUAAGGAGCUCCACUGGCUGCCGUUCAUCUUCCGGUCCCAAUUCAAGGUGCAGACUAUCAUCUAUAAAGCCCUAAACGGUUUGGGACCCACCUACCUCCGUGACCGUAUCUCCUUCCAUAAACCUGCCCGAUCUUUACGAUCAUCCAGGGAGGCCCUUUUAUCACCACUGUCUUUAUCCCAGACCCGCCUUGUGAGUACAAAGGAGAGGGCCUUUUCUACUGUGGCCCCCUGAUUGUGGAACUCACUACCUACUGAAAUUAGGCAAGCUCCCACGCUGUUAGUUUUUAGGAAAGACUUGAAAACAUGGCUCUCCCGCUGUGCCUUUGGUGAGUAAUUUCUGUUAUCUCUGUGUUACUCCCACCCCGAACAUCUUUCCUCUAGAUUACCCCACUUCCAUAUGUCCCUGCCCGCAGUGGAGUACCCCUAUGUCCCUUUCACUCCAGGUUUUAUCUUUGUGUUCACGUGGCCUGCCCUUGUUUUACUGUUUUUUGAUUUCUUGAUGUAAUGCCUAUUAUCAUUUAUUGCAUUUUUAAUGGUGCUAUGAUAUGUUGUUUUAUAUUUUGUUAUAUUGUAUUGCUCUGGGCAUGGCCCCAUGUUAGCCGCCCCGAGUCUCCGUUGGGGAGAUGGUGACGGGGUAUAAAUAAAGUAUUAUUAUUAUUAUUAUUAUUAUUAUUAUUAUUAUUAUUACUUUAUGG